rnacentral:rRNA from 1 species
UACGGAGGGUGCAAGCGUUAUCCGGAUUUACUGGGUUUAAAGGGUGCGUAGGUGGGUCUGUAAGUCAGUGGUGAAAUCUCCGAGCUUAACUCGGAAACUACCAUUGAUACUAUAGGUCUUGAAUUAUCUGGAGGUAAGCGGAAUAUGUCAUGUAGCGGUGAAAUGCUUAGAUAUGACAUAGAACACCAAUUGCGAAGGCAGCUUACUACGGAUAUAUUGACACUGAGGCACGAAAGCGUGGGGAUCAAACAGG